rfam:Chaetura pelagica isolate M959 contig2265, whole genome shotgun sequence.
ACUGGAGGACUAAUCGGCCUGAGUCUGAAGAGUGAGACUCAGAUGCCAAUCACCUCCUAAAAGAGAAGGGAUGGAGAGAGCAGUCCAGCUUGCAGAGGAGCAAAGGGCUGACUGUGCCAUCCGACACCA